AUUACCGCGGCUGCUGGAAGGUAGUUGGCCGCUCCUUCUUCUGCAGGUACCGUCAUUUUCGUUCCUGCUGAAAGCGGUUUACAGCCCGAAGGCCUUCAUCCCGCACGCGGCGUUGNUGCGUCAGGCUUUCGCCCAUUGCGCAAGAUUCCCCACUGCUGCCUCCCGUAGGAGUCUGGGCCGUGUCUCAGUCCCAGUGUGGCUGACCAUCCUCUCAGACCAGCUACCCGUCGUUGCCUUGGUAGGCCAUUACCCCACCAACAAGCUGAUAGGCCGCGAGACCCUCCCAAACCGGAUUUCCUUUCGUCAGUGAACCAUGCGGUUCUCCGACGUCAUUCGGUAUUAGCAAUCGUUUCCAAUUGUUAUCCCAAAGUCUGGGGCAGGUUUCUCACGUGAUCCUCACCCGUUCGCCACUAAAUCUUCCGGUGUAUUGCUACACCAUGGAUUCCGUUCGACUUGCAUGUGUUAAGCACGCCGCCAGCGUUCGUUCUGAGCCAG
rnacentral:rRNA from 1 species